rnacentral:rRNA from 1 species
UACGUAGGGUGCGAGCGUUAAUCGGAAUUCCUGGGCGUAAAGCGUGCGCAGGCGGUUUUGUAAGCCAGAUGUGAAAGCCCCGGGCUCAACCUGGGAAUGGCAUUUGGGACUGCAAGGCUUGAGUGCGGCAGAGGAGACUGGAAUUCCUGGUGUAGCAGUGAAAUGCGUAGAUAUCAGGAGGAAUACCGAUGGCGAAGGCAGGUCUCUGGGCUGACACUGACGCUCAUGCACGAAAGCGUGGGGAGCAAACAGG